rnacentral:rRNA from 1 species
GCGACCGGCGCACGGGUGAGUAACGCGUAUCCAACCUUCCGUACACUCAGGGAUAGCCUUUCGAAAGAAAGAUUAAUACCUGAUGGUAUGAUGAGAUUGCAUGAUAGCAUCAUUAAAGAUUUAUCGGUGUACGAUGGGGAUGCGUUCCAUUAGGUAGUAGGCGGGGUAACGGCCCACCUAGCCAACGAUGGAUAGGGGUUCUGAGAGGAAGGUCCCCCACAUUGGAACUGAGACACGGUCCAAACUCCUACGGGAGGCAGCAGUGAGGAAUAUUGGUCAAUGGACGAGAGUCUGAACCAGCCAAGUAGCGUGAAGGAUGAAGGUCCUACGGAUUGUAAACUUCUUUUAUAAGGGAAUAAACCCUCCCACGUGUGGGAGCUUGUAUGUACCUUAUGAAUAAGCAUCGGCUAACUCCGUGCCAGCAGCCGCGGUAAUACGGAGGAUGCGAGCGUUAUCCGGAUUUAUUGGGUUUAAAGGGAGCGCAGACGGGUCGUUAAGUCAGCUGUGAAAGUUUGGGGCUCAACCUUAAAAUUGCAGUUGAUACUGGCGUCCUUGAGUGCGGUUGAGGUGUGCGGAAUUCGUGGUGUAGCGGUGAAAUGCUUAGAUAUCACGAAGAACUCCGAUUGCGAAGGCAGCAC